ACUAGCAGACAUAUCACUCUGCAACUCACAACCGGCAACCCACUGAAACUAAGCAGGGCUGAGCCUAGUCUGUACCUGAUUGAGAGACCUCCUGGGAAAACCUGUGGUUGCUGCUGGAA
rnacentral:rRNA from 1 species